rnacentral:rRNA from 1 species
UACGUAGGGUGCAAGCGUUGUCCGGAAUUAUUGGGCGUAAAGAGCUUGUAGGCGGUUUGUCGCGUCUGCUGUGAAAUUUCGGGGGCUCAACCCCCGAACUUGCAGUGGGUACGGGCAGACUAGAGUGUGGUAGGGGAGACUGGAAUUCCUGGUGUAGCGGUGAAAUGCGUAGAUAUCAGGAGGAAUACCGGUGGCGAAAGCGACUCUCUGGACGGCAACUGACGCUGAGGCACGAAAGCGUGGGGAGCAAACAGG